rnacentral:rRNA from 1 species
UACGAAGGGGGCUAGCGUUGUUCGGAUUUACUGGGCGUAAAGCGCACGUAGGCGGGUUGUUAAGUCAGGGGUGAAAUCCUGGAGCUCAACUCCAGAACUGCCUUUGAUACUGGCGAUCUCGAGUCCGGGAGAGGUGAGUGGAACUGCGAGUGUAGAGGUGAAAUUCGUAGAUAUUCGCAAGAACACCAGUGGCGAAGGCGGCUCACUGGCCCGGUACUGACGCUGAGGUGCGAAAGCGUGGGAGCAACAGGGAUAA